AGCACUAUAAGAUUGUUAGAAAAUCCUGAAAAUGUGAUGAAUUUAGUUUUUCACUAUCACUAUUUAUGGACUUCAAAUUCGACCUCUAAAUUUUUUUUCAAAUUUGAAAUUUGAAAUUAAAAUUUCAAUCAUUGCCAGGUACCAUCAUUGCAAGUGUAUGUAGAAAAUAAGCCAUGCAAGCCGCUAUCCUUGGCAAGUUAGUUCAUGCUGACAACUCGCCUCGAAUCCAAGUCGGGUCAGCAAGGGUUGUGAGUGGGGCUAGCCGAGCCGACGAUCUAACGAAACGGCUUGCCCCAUUUGCCAUCCCUAGGUCACUUGGGUGACAAGCAUGUAUACUCACACUCACCACUCUACUACAAUAACUUGUGUGUCAGUAAAUUGAAAAUUAAGCCCUUGUUUGAUUGUCAUUAUUUGGAAAAUAUAAUAUUUUAAAUAGUGCUUUUUAAGAGAUUGUAUGGUUAAAAAGUUUGUGUACCAUUUGAUUUCAAAGUAUAUUACAUUACCAUUUAUUCACAGAGAUUAAACUUCAUUUUGAAGACAAUUAUAGUCUUUUUCAAAAUUUCUCAUAUUUCGUGUGACAAUUAUUUAAUUUUUUUUUUUUUUUUGUCUCUUCCUCAUAACCAGAUUUGAGCCCAACUCGAUUUCCUCAGCAGUUAACAAGGCAAUGGAAUUAAAUUUCAGUGCAAACUCUUUUUCUUUUCCCUGCUUCAAGUGAACGCUUCUCGUGCGCAACAAUUAACAUGGAGUAGCAAAGUUUAGGUAUUAGGUAUUAGGUCAAGAUUAUAUUCAUUCAAAAGUAUAAUUACUUUCAUUAAGACGCAUUUUUGCGUAGACAUUAGUGUUUAUACUUUUUCAGUAAUAAUGGAGUAAGGCUGUUUGUAAAUCAUUGUGUACAGAUUCAUGAUGUGAAUUAUAUUAACUGACUUCGUAUUC
rnacentral:lncRNA from 1 species